GUUGGUGUGUGUCAUGUUUAUUUUUUUUCGAUUAUUUUUUUUCAUGAAUCAAUGUGUUGGUUUUCUUGUUUGAAAUUGUUUGACAUUUUGUCAUAUUCAGUACCUCUUAUAGCUUACUUUAAAACUGGUACUGUAAAUUCAGAAAUUAUUGCAUGCAUCUAUUCUUGAUUUUUUAAUAAAUGGAUAAAUAUGCAAGAUUAAUAAUCCCGAUUUCAGAAAAAUCUGCCUUCAAAGUUAUGCAUCAGAGAUUAAAAUUAUGAAUACACCGAGUUCCUAUUGUGAUAUUCAACCAGUUGCAUUAUUUACAUUCAUAUAGAUAUUUGCUCAUUGCUGAAUGUCCUACGGUGACUGUAAUUUGCUUCCUUUAUUGAUAGUUGUGUAGUUGGCAAUCUUAUAACAUCUCUUUAUUCUUAUAUACCCCUAUCCAGAUUACCGGUAUAAAUAAACUUUUAAUUUGGAUUUUUUUUUU
rnacentral:lncRNA from 1 species